UACGGGGGGGGGCAAGCGUUGUUCGGAAUUACUGGGCGUAAAGGGCUCGUAGGUGGCCAACUAAGUCAGACGUGAAAUCCCUCGGCUUAACCGGGGAACUGCGUCUGAUACUGGAUGGCUUGAGUUUGGGAGAGGGACGCGGAAUUCCAGGUGUAGCGGUGAAAUGCGUAGAUAUCGGAAGGAACACCAGUGGCGAAGGCGGCUUCCUGGACUAAUACUGACGCUGAGGUGCGAAAGCGUGGGGAGCAAACAGG
rnacentral:rRNA from 1 species